rnacentral:rRNA from 1 species
GGACCCGCACAAGCGGUGGAGUAUGUGGUUUAAUUCGAUGCAACACGAAGAACCUUACCAGGGUUUGACAUCCUGCGAAUCUCUUGGAAACGAGAGAGUGCCUUCGGGAGCGCAGUGACAGGUGGUGCAUGGCUGUCGUCAGCUCGUGUCGUGAGAUGUUGGUUAAGUCCCGCAACGAGCGCAACCCACGUCUUUAGUUGCCAGCAUUUAGUUGGGCACUCUAGAGAGACCGCCGGUGAUAAACCGGAGGAAGGUGUGGAUGACGUCAAGUCAUCAUGCCCCUUACAUCCUGGGCUACACACGUGCUACAAUGGUACAGACAGAGGGCAGCCACCUGGCGACAGGGAGCGAA